AGCGUGUAGGCUGGGUGGGAGCCAUACAUAGUUUGGACAACUGAAGACUCAAGCUCAAGUCAAGACAGGAAGAGUGCUGGCAAGCACCUCUCUGCACCCCAUCACUGACCUUGGGCUCACUCCUUCCCUGGUGUCCCAGCCUUCAGACCUCCGGAGAGCCUGCAAAACCCAUCUUCUCUCCUGUGCAUGCAGGAGGAGGCAGGUGAAUGGAAAAGGUUAUGUUGCUUUUGGUAGAGUGUUAUGGAGAUGCUGUGUUUGUUACAGUUUUUAAUAGACCACAGCUAUGUAAAUGUGGGACCACAUCAGCUACUUUCAAAGUUUUCAGAAGGUGAAAAAUGAUAGCAGUGAAUCCAUGAAGCCAUCUAUGUCAGGCAGUUAGCCUGCAAAGACACUGUAAAUUCACCUCUGAUCUGUAUAUACCAAUCAAACCUUCUAUUAAACCAAGGAAGUCAA